GAUCCUGGCUCAGAACGAACGCUGGCGGCGCGUUUAAGCAUGCAAGUCGAGCGGCAAGGGCCUUCGGGCCCCUAGAGCGGCGGACGGGUGAGUAACACGUGGACAAUCCUGCCCCCCGGCCCGGGAUAGCCCAGGGAAACCUGGAUUAAUACCGGAUGAGACGGGACCCGCGAUGGCGGGAUCCGGGAAAGGCGCUGCGGCGCCGCCGGGGGAUGAGUCUGCGUCCCAUUAGCUAGACGGCGGGGUAACGGCCCACCGUGGCGACGAUGGGUAGCCGGCCUGAGAGGGUGGACGGCCACAUUGGAACUGAGACACGGUCCAGACUCCUACGGGAGGCAGCAGCUAAGAAUCUUCCGCAAUGGGCGAAAGCCUGACGGAGCCGACGCCGCGUGAACGAAGAAGGCCGUGAGGUUGUAAAGGUUCUUUUCGGGAGGGGGAACAACCGUGGCAGGGAAUGGCCGCGGGAUGACGUGAAUCCCGGAAUAAGCCCCGGCUAACUACGUGCCAGCCGCGGC
rnacentral:rRNA from 1 species